UACGUAGGUGGCAAGCGUUGUCCGGAAUUAUUGGGCGUAAAGAGCUCGUAGGCGGCUUGUCGCGUCGGCUGUGAAAACCUGGGGCUCAACCCCGGGCCUGCAGCCGAUACGGGCAGACUAGAGGCAGGUAGGGGAGAAUGGAAUUCCCGGUGUAGCGGUGAAAUGCGCAGAUAUCGGGAGGAACACCGGUGGCGAAGGCGGUUCUCUGGGCCUGACCUGACGCUGAGGAGCGAAAGCGUGGGGAGCGAACAGG
rnacentral:rRNA from 1 species